ensembl:snRNA U6 U6 spliceosomal RNA
GUGCUUGCUUCAGCAGCACAUACACAAAAACUGGAACGAUAUCAAGAAGAUUAGCAAGACCCCUGCACAAGGAUGACACACAAAUUCAUGAAGCGUUAAAAUUAAAG